rnacentral:rRNA from 1 species
CUGCUGCCUCCCGUAGGAGUUUGGGCCGUGUCUCAGUCCCAAUGUGGCCGUUCACCCUCUCAGGCCGGCUACUGAUCGUCGCCUUGGUGGGCUGUUACCCCGCCAACAAGCUAAUCAGACGCGGAUCCAUCGUAUACCACCGGAGUUUUUCACACCGUCUCAUGCGAGACUGUGCGCUUAUGCGGUAUUAGCACCUAUUUCUAAGUGUUAUCCCCCAGUAUACGGCAGGUUAUCCACGCGUUACUCACCCGUCCG